GACGAACGCUGGCGGCGUGCUUAACACAUGCAAGUCGAACGGAAAGGCCCUGCUUUUGUGGGGUGCUCGAGUGGCGAACGGGUGAGUAACACGUGAGAAACCUGCCCUUGACUUUGGGAUAACUUCAGGAAACUGGGGCUAAUACCGGAUAGGAGCUCCUGCUGCAUGGUGGGGGUUGGAAAGUUUCGGCGGUUGGGGAUGGACUCGCGGCUUAUCAGCUUGUUGGUGGGGUAGUGGCUUACCAAGGCUUUGACGGGUAGCCGGCCUGAGAGGGUGACCGGCCACAUUGGGACUGAGAUACGGCCCAGACUCCUACGGGAGGCAGCAGUGGGGAAUAUUGCACAAUGGGCGGAAGCCUGAUGCAGCAACGUCGCGUGCGGGAUGACGGCCUUCGGGUUGUAAACCGCUUUCGCCUGUGACGAAGCGUGAGUGACGGUAAUGGGUAAAGAAGCACCGGCUAACUACGUG
rnacentral:rRNA from 1 species